CCUGUGCAGGAUGGGGUAGGGAACAGGCUGAUGUGACAGGUGGCUCCCCCUGUGCAGGAUGGGGUAGGGAACAGGCUGAUGUGACAGGCAGCUCUGUGCAGGAUGGGGUAGGGAACAGGCUGACGUGACAGGCGGCUCUCCCUGUGCAGGACAGGGUAGCACAAUCAACAAGCAUAACAUCAAUGAUGAUGUUUCUUAGAUUCCCAGAGCAUAAACCCAACGAAGACCUGGG